GAUGAACGCUGGCGUCGUGCCUAAUACAUGCAAGUCGAGCGAACAGACGAGGAGCUUGCUCCUCUGACGUUAGCGGCGGACGGGUGAGUAACACGUGGAUAACCUACCUAUAAGACUGGGAUAAAUUCGGGAAACCGGAGCUAAUACCGGAUAAUAUAUUGAACCGCAUGGUUCAAUAGUGAAAGACGGUUUUGCUGUCACUUAUAGAUGGAUCCGCGCCGCAUUAGCUAGUUGGUAAGGUAACGGCUUACCAAGGCAACGAUGCGUAGCCGACCUGAGAGGGUGAUCGGCCACACUGGAACUGAGACACGGUCCAGACUCCUACGGGAGGCAGCAGUAGGGAAUCUUCCGCAAUGGGCGAAAGCCUGACGGAGCAACGCCGCGUGAGUGAUGAAGGUCUUCGGAUCGUAAAACUCUGUUAUUAGGGAAGAACAAAUGUGUAAGUAACUAUGCACGUCUUGACGGUACCUAAUCAGAAAGCCACGGCUAACUACGUG
rnacentral:rRNA from 1 species